GCCUUCAGUUGCCAAGAGCUCCUCAGUUAGAGGUGGGGCCGGCCUCAGGAGCGCAGAUUCCAUGCUCACAGGAAUGCUGACCGGCUUGCUCUUCUGCAGGUUGUCUGAGGCACAAUCUCACAGCAGAUUUCCUGGUCCGCUGGCUCUCACAAUCUUUCCCCUUCCCUCUUCUAAGAGGCUUCUUGAGUCUUGGAUGCAGGAGCUGUGCUGUAGAUGGGUCCCAUGGCACCGGAGACCUCCUUUCACGGCGUGUGUCUCAGCGGAGGCCACAGAAACGUUGGUCGUGGCAGCGGCGACUAUGCUGUUGUCAGUGGGGACUCCAUUGUGUCUGCAGAUUAAACAGAAGUUAGCCGUAAGUCACAAGUGCUGCCUGGAAGAGAAUGUUCUGCAUUUACUUAGAUCCUGUCCAGAGAGUCUGAUGGCUCAAAGAAUUUCCUGUGAGUGGAGGGACACAGCAAUUACUGGGAAACCACGCCUAUGCCUGGAGCAC